GACGAACGCUGGCGGCGUACCUAAUACGUGCAAGUCGAGCGGACUUUCAAGAAGCUUGCUUUUUGAAAGUUAGCGGCGGACGGGUGAGUAACACGUGGGCAACCUGCCUGUAAGACGGGGAUAACUCCGGGAAACCGGGGCUAAUACCGGAUAAUAUCUUUCUUCGCAUGAAGGAAGGUUGAAAGGCGGCGCAAGCUGCCGCUUGCAGAUGGGCCCGCGGCGCAUUAGCUAGUUGGUGAGGUAACGGCUCACCAAGGCGACGAUGCGUAGCCGACCUGAGGGGGUGAUCGGCCACACUGGGACUGAGACACGGCCCAGACUCCUACGGGAGGCAGCAGUGGGGAAUUUUGGACAAUGGGGGCAACCCUGAUCCAGCCAUUCCGCGUGAGUGAAGAAGGCCUUCGGGUUGUAAAGCUCUUUCGGCAGGAACGAAACGGCGAGCUCUAACAUAGCUUGCUAAUGACGGUACCUGAAGAAGAAGCACCGGCUAACUACGUGCCAGCCGCCGCCGUAA
rnacentral:rRNA from 1 species